rnacentral:ncRNA from 20 species
GAAAAACUUAAGGUCUUCGGUUCUAAUAGAGAUCAGCCAUUAGAGGCAACGGGGAAAAAGCGGUGUAAAUCCGUCGCUGUCCCGCAACUGUGAUGAGAUUAGUCUUGAACAAAUCUCUUAGUCAGAAUGCCCGCCGAUAAGUUGAUCCAUGUU